GUUUAACGGCCGCGGUAUUUUAACCGCGCGAAGGUAGCGUAAUCACUUGUCUUUUAAAUGGAGACCUGUAUGAAUGGCAUAACGAGGGUUUAACUGUCUCCUUUCCCCAGUCAAUGAAAUUGAUCUGCCCGUGCAGAAGCGGGCCUAGACCCAUAAGACGAGAAGACCCUAUGGAGCUUUAGGCGGACACCCAAGCACCCCCAGCCCCUUACAACACAAUACUGAAGAGAUGUAAAAUAAACGCUCAUGGGUGAACAGCCUUCGGUUGGGGCGACCGUGGAGGAAAAUAAAGCCUCCAAGAAGAACAAGAAAAACUCUUAAGCCAAGAGAAACAACUCUAAGCAACAGAAUAUCUGACUACAAAUGACCCAGACAUUAACUGAUCAACGAACCAAGUUACCCUAGGGAUAACAGCGCAAUCCUUUCCCAGAGUCCAUAUCGACGAAAGGGCUUACGACCUCGAUGUUGGAUCAGGACACCCUAAUGGUGCAGCCGCUAUUAAGGGUUCGUUUGUUCAACGAU
rnacentral:rRNA from 1 species